ACCAUACACCCUCUCUCUCUCUCUCUCUCUCUCUCUCUCUCUCUCAUAAACACACACAAGCACACACAUGCGAUUUUGGCCAAUUUUCAGGUCUCAGGCGUGUUUAUAAACCUGCUUCCUCCCUUCUUCUUCUUCUUCUGUAGUACUUACGACUAUUUUCUGGUUUGUACUUUGGAGCAUGUGUAUAUUUACAGAUUUUUUUCGAUUCCCUUCAAGCAUAGUGCCUUUUUCAGGUGAAUCUGAAUAUAUAUACUAUUACUACGUUUUAUACUUGGUUUGUUGAUUAAAAGCCACAAAUCUGUCAGCUGACUCAGCGCUAAUUUUUGUUCGACCGGCCGGAAUCCGAUAUGGGUUGUCCUUUUUGUCACCGGAAUCUCACCGGUUAAUCUGAUCCAACCUCCAAGUACUUCAAAAACAAUCCCCAGAGCUGUUUGAAAACUAAUUUUGUUUCAGAAAACAUGAGAGUCUGAUUUUAUUUUUUAUUUUUUUUGUUUGGGUUUCUCGUCAUGUUGUAUCAACAUGACCAUGAGUUACUCGGUCUCAGGUUUUCCGGUUAGCUUAUUCGUACCUCAACUAAUCGGAGGAUCAUGAAAUUCUCGUUUGCUGCAGUCAUUUAUUCCUAAGCCAAGUUUUUUCUGAAUCUAUGGUUUCUCUCUGAUAGUCUGAUUAUACAAAUGCUUCUCGUAUUUUAUUGAUUUUUUUCGUAUUUUAUCCAAUCGGGGGUUUCUGAAUAUUCGCCAAUACCAGAGAAUAUUAUCCCAAUACAAACACAAUAACGGGAUCGGAGGUCCAAAAUCUUGAUAGAUAGACUAUCCGCCCAAACAUCGAAAGUUGUAAAAUUUUGAUUCGCAGCGAUCGAGAUUUUUUGAAUCCUUCCCUUUCGAGGGCGAUGCUGCGGGUGGAUUGAUUGACACAGUUGUUGGUUGCAGAUGUAGCAUCAUCAAGAUUCACAUGCAAAUGCACACCCCAGGUUUGAACACUCUAUUCCCCAACUUUCUGCCGAGGCUCCUUUGAUCACAAAUAAAGGAAAACGAUUUUCACACUCCACCCCUACUGAAUGCUUCCAUUUUAUGAUUUUUGUGAAACUUUUUUUUUUUUUUUUGGUGGAGGAACAGCCCUACUAUCAGGUCGCCUGACUGCGCAACCCAAACCUUCGAGAGAGCUAGCGUGGCCAAAAAAGCCACGGCCCCCACUUUCUCCAGGGUACUCACGCGAUGGGGAAUCGAACCCCAGACCUUAACGAGUACUCCCUAAGCAUGAACAUUUACCUAAACCACCGGGGCAGUCCCCAGGAUGUGUUUUGUGAAUCUUUUGUUGGUAGCAUUUUUACGAAAAAUAACAAAUAGUGUGCAUUAGUCAAAAAGAGGACUGCAACAAAUUUACCGAAAAUAAGACAUAGUGUGCAUUCGUCAAAAGAGGACCGCAAAAAUCAAUAACCUGGAAAACAAUCGCGUAAUAAUUAAACAAACGGGCGGACAAAAAGUUUUUGGACUGGGCGAGAAAGUUUUUGGAGGUGAGAAUCUUGAUGAUGCUGCAUCGGCAAUAAACGGCUCAUACAUAAAUUUUCAUCAGUACUGUUGCAACAGUUUGCAGUAUUUCAACAUAUAGCUGUGAUUCUGUCAGUGAUUUGCAUUUUUUAUUUGGAUCCCAUGGAGGACCAAAAACACUGGGGGAUUCCUGACAUGAAUGACCAUUGGAGGAAUUCCAAAGGGGUUCCAGACGUGUGAUUAUUCUUCUGGACAGCAAAUGUGAGGAUUGGAGAAGAGAGUUGCAGAUGACUGAUCACGAGCAAAAAUAAUGGAGGUAAAAUUUUGUUUGAGAAAUUAAUCAUGUGUCAAUCGAUUUAUUUCAUAUUACUUGCAUUGUUAAAUUUGAUAUUGGCGAGGAUCGUGAGAUACGAAAAUUGGAUUAUGUUCAAGCCAAUUCAUUAUAUUUCAAGAGAAGCUCAGGUCUAAUUAUCCUUGUGAUCAGCAUUAGCUUAGGAUUUGUCAAUCUGAUGAAUCUUAUUUGUUAAUCAUGUCAUAAGGGAAACUUGAUGACACUUCUCUAUGACCAUAUUUGUCCUCGGAAAUUAUGUUUUAGAGCAAAAAGUUGUGGCCCAUGUAGUUUAUAAUGUAGAUGCAAUGGUAAUGCAUACAAAUAAAAAUAAUGAAGGUAAAAAAUGUUUGAGAAAUUAAUCAUAUGUCAUCGAUUUAUUUCAUAUUACUUGCUUUGUUAAAUUUGACAUUGGCGAGGACCGUGAGAUACGAAAAUUGGAUCAUGUUCGAGCCAAUUCAUUAUAUUUCAAGACAAGUGAAGCUCUGUUCAAAUUAUCCUUAUGAGCAUAAGCUUAGAAUUUGUCAAUCUGAUGAAUCCUGUCUGUUAUUCAUGUCAUUCAUCGAUUUAUUUCAUAUUACUUGCAUUGUUAAAUUUGACAUUGGCGAGGACCGUGAGAUACGAAAAUUGGAUCAUGUUCGAGCCAAUUCAUUAUAUUUCAAGACAAGUGAAGCUCUGUUCAAAUUAUCCUUAUGAGCAUAAGCUUAGAAUUUGUCAAUCUGAUGAAUCCUGUCUGUUAUUCAUGUCAUAAGGGGAACUUGACGACACUUUUCUAUGACCAUAUUUGUCCCCGAAAAUUAUGUUUGAGAGCAAAAAGUUGUGGCCCAUGUAGUUUAUAAUGUAGAUGCAAUGGUAAUGCAUACAAAUAAAGAGCAAAAAUAAUGAAGGUAAAAUUUUGUUUGAGAAAUUAAUCACGUGUCAUCGAUAUAUUUCAUAUUACUUGCAUUGUUAAAUUUGACAUUGGCGAGGAUCGUGGGAUACAAAAAUUGGAUCAUGUUCGAGCCAAUUCAUUAUAUUUCAAGACAAGUGAAGCUCUGUUCAAAUUAUCCUUAUGAGCAUAAGCUUAGAAUUUGUCAAUCUGAUGAAUCCUGUCUGUUAUUCAUGUCAUUCAUCGAUUUAUUUCAUAUUACUUGCAUUGUUAAAUUUGACAUUGGAGAGGACCGUGAGAUACGAAAAUUGGAUCAUGUUCGAGCCAAUUCAUUAUAUUUCAAGAAAGAGAAGCUCUGUUCAAAUUAUCCUUAUGAGCAUCAGCUUAGGAUUUGUCAAUCUGAUGAAUCCUAUCUGUUAAUCAUGUCAUAAGGGGAACUUGACGACACUUCUCUAUGACCAUAAAAAGUUGUGCCCCAUGUAGUUUAUAAUGUAGAUGCAAUGGUAAUGCAUACAAAUAAAGAGAGGGAAUUAAAUUAAAAACAUCUUCAUCAUGUGGAGUAUAUAAUAUUGUCUUUUUUCUAUAAACAUCUCCCAUACUCUUCUGUAUUGCAUUUGAAGUGUGCAUUUGAUGAUACGUACUUUGUAAAUAAUUAAGACCAAGUAAAAAUGGUGAAAACAGGAAUAUGAUGGAUGGAUGGAUGGAUGAGUGAAAGAUAUCGAUGUAUGAAAGAUGUUAUUCAUGGAUUAAAUUUCGACGGAUGAGUGAUUCGUAUUUGAUGCUUGAAGGAUGUAUAUAUGAAGGAUGGAUGAGUUAAGAAGACCAAGCAAAUAGUUUUUUGAUGUUGUUCGUGGAUUAAAUUUCAAUGGUGAGAAGAAUAAGGAUGUAUGAGUGAUCAUAUUUGAAGGAUUAGUUAAUAAAACACAUCGAUAUGAUCCUACCUGAAGAUUCACAUCGACUCUCAGGUCCCGUUCCAUUUAACUUAAAGUGGAAUAAGUUAGUUUUGUUUCUAUUUGAAUUUUUUUCACAUUUGUUAGUUUUGCGCCAAAUUUUUGUGGAUUGUUGAUUCGUCCCGACGAGCGGAAUCGGAAAAAUGAAAAAUUUUACUUUUACCCAAAUAUUUUAGGAAAUAAUCACUUUUUAGCCAAAAAAAAAAGUUUACUUUUUUGCUAAAAAUUGAUUAUUUCCUAAAAUAUUUGGGUAAAAGUAAAAAAAUACUUUUCUGAUUCCUCUCGUUUAGACGAAUCAAUAAUUCGCAAAAGUUUGGCACAAAAAAAAAUUGAAUAAGGACAAAAAGUGAUAAAAGUUAAACGGAACGGGGCCUUUAGAUAGUGACAAAUAAACUCUCUUAAAUUGUUGUGAUAGAACCCCUAAGGAAAUUGAUUUUGGCACUCCACUUUUUAUCUUUUUACUAUUUAAAAUUACAAUAAUACCAUUUAAAGUGGAUGAACACUAACAAAAUAAAGGGUGAUUUGGUAAUUUCACAUAGGGUAAAAACAAAAAGUACUGGAGUGCUAAUGGCUAAAUGUGGAGAGCCAAAAUCAAUUUACUGCUCCUAAUUCAUUGUAUAUGUGAGACAUUUUUGCAUAAUAAAUAUCCAAAAUUAGUGGUAGGUACUAAAAUGGAGUAUGUGUUUUGCGGUAUAAUUUUGGCUGCUUCCAAACUCAGCAAAUAUGCUUCGAUCAUUGAUUUUUGUACUUAUAUGUUGUGGGUUUUGCUGAUAUAUAUGAUAUGAUCCACCCAAAAAUAGCAAAGAGCUGUUGAUCAAUAUCUUGCCCAACUUCUGAGCUUUUCCCAUUUUUGUCUUCUUUAGAAAGGAGAUUUUCAGUCUCCUUAAGUGGUUUUUUGUCCAUGGAAUCAAGGACUCGAUAUAUAUUGUUUGUAAAUUCAUUGGAAAACUGUCAACUCGAUUGCAAAUGUAUAUCCCAAUGGCUACAUGCCACUGGCUUUUUUCUAUUUUGGUUGGACGGUCACGGGUGUCUAGGCCAGCUUACGCGCACCUCGACUAUUAUCCUCUCCGAUUCGGUCAAAGAGACGCCUAAUUCCAUACCGGGAUUAGCGGAUUCACGAUAGAUUUCAUGUCAAAUAAAUGUGACCCGUUUGUUGGUUAAAAUUAUGAAGAACUUGAAGCGCUUUGAAUAAAACUACGAGGACCAUACAAAACGCAUCAUUCUACAUAUAUGGUGGGAUCUUCUGUUCCAUCACCCUUCGACAAUAUUUCUCAAUCUGCCAUCAUUCUUGUAGGUGGACCAGCACUGAGAAAUCUUACAUCUUGAUGAGCGCUUGACUCUCUCUCUCUCUCUCUCUCUCUCUCUCUGUGUGAAUGAAAAUCAUCCAUCAAUAAUAGUGGUACAUAUUAUUAAUAUAUUAUUGAUGACAGAUAUAUAUUAUUCAGCUAAAUUAAGUUUCAGAAAAUAUCUCAAAUUCUGGCUUUAUUAUUGUUCAUGACAGAGUAUUAUUCAGCUGCAUAUUUAUAGAGAUCUGUGUGCCCAGCACCACUGUACUA